UGGGGAAUUUUGGACAAUGGGCGAAAGCCUGAUCCAGCCAUGCCGCGUGAGUGAAGAAGGCCUUCGGGUUGUAAAGCUCUUUCGGUCGGGACGAAAUCGCACGAGUGAAUAUCGCGUGUGGAUGACGGUACCGGCAGAAGAAGGACCGGCUAACUACGUGCCAGCAGCCGCGGUAAUACGUAGGGUCCGAGCGUUAAUCGGAAUUACUGGGCGUAAAGCGUGCGCAGGUGGUUUUGUAAGCCAGAUGUGAAAGCCCCGGGCUUAACCUGGGAACUGCAUUUGGGACUGCAAGGCUAGAGUACGGCAGAGGGGGGUAGAAUUCCUGGUGUAGCAGUGAAAUGCGUAGAUAUCAGGAGGAAUACCGAUGGCGAAGGCAGCCCCCUGGGUCGAUACUGACGCUCAUGCACGAAAGCGUGGGGAGCAAACAGG
rnacentral:rRNA from 1 species